CCGUCUGCUAUACAUUUACAUUUAGUCGUGAAAUUAACGAUCAAAUCGACUGGGAGCUGAUUAUCCAAAAAUAAAUGCUAGAUUCAGCUUCGUUUGGCUCAAAGCCUUUGAAGUCCCACAGUUUUUCCUAACGAGACGUAGAUGAGAAGUCCUGGCGAUUCUGAAUUUCAUAUUACUCGUUUAUAGAGCUACAAGAAAGAACUAGCGACAGGAUCAAAGGGCGUGGGAAGCUUACACGGGGGCACGGGCUGAUUUGCUGUUUUGUGUGCAGGCUGGCUGGACAGACACGAGUACCGCGGGGGAAUGACACUGCUCCAGGCAAGCGGAGACGUGGAGCUGACUUCCUGCGGCGUGGGCGGAAGGAGCACUCUCUGGACCAGGACACUCAGAACCGGGCCUGGAAUGGGAGUUCAUCCCAAGGGUCUCUGUCCCGGAAAUCAAAGCCAGCACACGGCAGGUCCCCGACACGCCCGGGAGGCUCCAAGGUGCACCCCUCCAGCGCCCUCGGCUGGCGGAGCUGGCUAUGCGAACGCCUCCAGCUGUCCUGGUGGGUGCUGGGGUGGCCAGAGGGGGAAGCCCCGGGACCUGGUGAUGGAAGUGGCUUUUUGGGUGGACCCAGGGCGGGGACUGGGGGCAGGUCCAUGGCUGGUGAGAGUCAAAGCUCGGGCAGGGAGUGGUUCUCCACCCUGGCUGCACCCUCCGUCGGGAUUGUGGGUUAAUCCCCCUGAGCCGCGGCCUGGGCAGCAGCAUUUUAACCCCCUCCCCGCGGCGGGGGGAUUCUGACAUGCAGUCAUGACUGUGAGACUGACGUCCGGAGCUCUGCGCUUGGAGGAGCAGGUAAGGACCUGACAGCACCCCCCGUCACCCAGAUAUGAGGACCCAAGGGGUGCAAAGAACAAAGUCCACCCUGGGAAGAUGGGCAGGGGCCCAUAGUCUGGGACGUGGCUCAUGGCCGGUUGGAGGGGUGGGGACUGGCUUCUCCCACUGGGCCCCGCACGGGAGCCCAGAGCCGCCUGACUGUAGUGGGCCGAUUGCUCUGGAAGGCAGAGGCCGUGUUGUACGGUCUCGGCAUCCCAGUAGCAGCGUCUUGCCUGGAGGGUACCCAGUGGCUGCCAUGGCCCCCACCCUGGGUGAUUCCCUGGUACUGGGGUGGUGCUUGUCCGUGUCCCCGUGCAGAGGCUGGAUGGGCCCCGGGGGCCUGGGCUGAACCUGAGCCCGAUUCACACGAAUCAAGCGAUUUCUGUCAUGAACAGAACAGGGGCCUGGGGCCCGGGGGACCUGAGACCCUCAUUAUUUGCCUGCCCCUCCCUCUGGUUUGUUUGUUUUUGCUGGGGGGGGGGGGGGAGCACACGUGCGAGCUGCGUUUCUGAAUGUGUUUCACUGCCAGUGCGGAUCCCGCCGUCCUACCCAGCAAA
rnacentral:lncRNA from 1 species